ACAACUCUAAAUCAGUUGAUCCAAUAAGAUUGAAUCAACGAUAACAAGAACUGGAAUAGUGCUAAUCCGUAUCUGUUAUUGGUUUAGUUGUUCUGUUCUCAGUUUAAUAUAAAACCCAUGUGAUGACUUCGAAAGAUGGUAAUGCAAAUUAACACACACACAAAAAGACUUCUUCUCAGUUACUCAAUUACUCUUGUGUUUGUUGAUUAAUCUAUAGUUUGGUAAUGAUCUUUAUCGAAGAAUCAGUGAAAGAGGAGAGUAGUAGUAGGUGAUUAAAGAAAGUUACCGAGACGACGAGAGCAGAGGUGGCAAGAGCGAAUCCAGCGAUUUUGACAGCGUCGGAGCAUUUACCGGCGAAGUCCUUGAAGUCAGAUUGGAAGGAGCAAGUGAGGCGAGCAGAGGAAGUAUCUAGCCCGAAAGAUUUGCCGACGGAUUGAGUAGAGCGGAGGUGAGCACUGCCGCGAGAAGGAGCGGUGGCGAUCUUCGCCGACUGGAGGAAUGUGGCGGUGGAUUGGAGAGAGGCUGCCAUGGCCACAGAUGGUUU
rnacentral:lncRNA from 1 species